GACGAACGCUGGCGGCGUGCUUAACACAUGCAAGUCGAACGAAGAGCGAUGGAAGCUUGCUUCUAUCAAUCUUGGUGGUGAACGGGUGAGUAACGCGUAAUCAACCUGCCCUUCAGAGGGGGACAACAGUUGGAAACGACUGCUAAUACCGCAUACGAUCUAAUCUCGGCAUCGAGGAUAGAUGAAAGGUGGCCUCUACAUGUAAGCUAUCACUGAAGGAGGGGAUUGCGUCUGAUUAGCUAGUUGGAGGGGUAACGGCCCACCAAGGCGAUGAUCAGUAGCCGGUCUGAGAGGAUGAACGGCCACAUUGGGACUGAGACACGGCCCAGACUCCUACGGGAGGCAGCAGUGGGGAAUCUUCCGCAAUGGACGAAAGUCUGACGGAGCAACGCCGCGUGAGUGAUGACGGCCUUCGGGUUGUAAAGCUCUGUUAAUCGGGACGAAAGGCCUUCUUGCGAAUAGGGAGAAGGAUUGACGGUACCGGAAGAGAAAGCCACGGCUAACUACGUG
rnacentral:rRNA from 1 species